ACUUUUGCCUUUGUUAAACAUUGUCUUUCCUUAUACAGAAUGUUUUUCUCAUGCUCUAAUUAGUCAUUCUACUAAUCUUUCAUUUUUCCAGUGUUUUAAAAACCGGUAUAUACCGGCCGGUAUUACCGGUAAUACCGGUUGCCGGGGUGUUGGCCGGCACGAUUCAGUCCGGUAUUUUGAAGGAACAACAAACGAUUUGAACCGCCGGUAUUCAGGUAAAAACCGGUAUGUACCGUUAAACCGGUACCGUCCCACCAUUUGAUUUUCUUUAGUCGGCCCAAGACAUUGACGAUUAACCUCCGGCACUUGAUGUUUAACCAAGAGCAUCGUAUGAUCCAUUCAUCAGAGCCUUUGCGUACCAUCCAUUCAUGAUUCAUCAAAGCCUCUGUGUACCAUCGAUCAUCAGAGGUAUUAUAUACAAUACCGGGGGACGAUCAAGCUCAACAAAGAACCGAACACGAACACGAUCAAGUUCAAGCUUUCGCAUAUUAUUACGUUGUCGUUUUGAACGACGAAUUCAAUCACAUUUUGUUGUAUUGUUUUUAAUGCUAAAUAAACUUUAAAUAAACCCGUAUUAUGAUUAGUAUGUGUGAUCAUUAAUACACAUUUUUAGUUCUUAAUUUAUAAGAAAUACGUUAAAUA